AUUGAACGCUGGCGGCAGGCUUAACACAUGCAAGUCGAGCGAGCGGCGGACGGGUGAGUAAUGUCUGGGAAACUGCCUGAUGGAGGGGGAUAACUACUGGAAACGGUAGCUAAUACCGCAUACCAUCAGAUGUGCCCAGAUGGGAUUAGCUAGUAGGUGGGGUAAUGGCGCACCUGGGCGACGAUCCCUAGCUGGUCUGAGAGGAGGACCAGCCACACGGGAACGGAGACACGGUCCAGACUCCGACGGGAGGCAGCAGUGGGGAAUAUUGGACAAUGGGGGCAAGCCUGAUGCAGCAAUGCCGCGUGUGUGAAGAAGGCCGUCGGGUUGGAAAGCACUUUCAGCGAGGAGGCGUUACUCGCAGAAGAAGCACCGGCUAACUCCGUGCCAGCAGCCGCGGUAAUUC
rnacentral:rRNA from 1 species